rnacentral:rRNA from 1 species
GACGAGUGAACUUGUCCACGAAGCAAUCGGAAGUGGUUCCAAGAAAAGCCUCUAAGCUUCAGUCAUACGAGACCGUACCGCAAACCGACACAGGUGGGCGAGAUGAGUAUUCUAAGGCGCUUGAGAGAACUCGGGAGAAGGAACUCGGCAAAUUGGUACCGUAACUUCGGGAAAAGGUACGCCUCGGUAGUUUGACCACUUUACUGUGGAAGGACGAAAAGGUUGCAAUAAACUGGUGGCUGCGACUGUUUAAUAAAAACACAGCACUCUGCAAACACGAAAGUGGACGUAUAGGGUGUGACGCCUGCCCGGUGCUGGAAGAUUAAAUGAUGGGGUGCAAGCUCUUGAUUGAAGUCCCAGUAAACGGCGGCCGUAACAAUAACGGUCCUAAGGUAGCGAAGUUCCUUGUCGGGUAAGUUCCGACCUGCACGAAUGGCGUAACGAUGGCCACACUGUCUCCUCCCGAGACUCAGCGAAGUUGAAAUGUUUGUGAUGAUGCAAUCUACCCGCGGCUAGACGGAAAGACCCCAUGAACCUUUACUGUAGCUUUGCAUUGGACUUUGAACCAAUCUGUGUAGGAUAGGUGGGAGGCUUUGAAGUAGGGACGCCAGUCUCUAUGGAGCCAUCCUUGAAAUACCACCCUGGUUUGUUUGAGGUUCUAACCUUGGUCCGUUAUCCGGAUCGGGGACAGUGCAUGGUAGGCAGUUUGACUGGGGCGGUCUCCUCCUAAAGUGUAACGGAGGAGUUCGAAGGUACGCUAGGUACGGUCGGACAUCGUGCUAAUAGUGCAAUGGCAUAAGCGUGCUUAACUGCGAGACUGACAAGUCGAGCAGGUACGAAAGUAGGACAUAGUGAUCCGGUGGUUCUGUAUGGAAGGGCCAUCGCUCAACGGAUAAAAGGUACUCUGGGGAUAACAGGCUGAUUCCUCCCAAGAGUUCAUAUCGACGGGGGAGUUUGGCACCUCGAUGUCGGCUCAUCACAUCCUGGGGCUGUAGCCGGUCCCAAGGGUAUGGCUGUUCGCCAUUUAAAGUGGUACGUGAGCUGGGUUUAAAACGUCGUGAGACAGUUUGGUCCCUAUCUGCCGUGGGCGUUGGAAAUUUGAAGGGGGCUGCUCCUAGUACGAGAGGACCGGAGUGGACGAACCUCUGGUGUACCGGUUGUCACGCCAGUGGCAUUGCCGGGUAGCUAAGUUCGGAAGAGAUAACCGCUGAAAGCAUCUAAGCGGGAAACUUGCCUUAAGAUGAGAUUUCCCGGAGCCUUGAGCUCCUUGAAGGGUCGUUCGAGACCAGGACGUUGAUAGGUCAGGUGUGGAAGUG